UCCCAGAUAGCUCAGUUGGUAAAGAAUCUGCCUGCAAUGCAGGAGACCCCGGUUCGAUUCCUGGGUUGGGAA
rnacentral:tRNA from 1 species